AUUGAACGCUGGCGGCAUGCCUUACACAUGCAAGUCGAACGGCAGCACGGGAGCAAUCCUGGUGGCGAGUGGCGAACGGGUGAGUAAAGUAUCGGAACGUGCCCAGUCGUGGGGGAUAACGUAGCGAAAGUUACGCUAAUACCGCAUACGAUCUAUGGAUGAAAGCGGGGGAUCGCAAGACCUCGCGCGAUUGGACCGGCCGAUGUCAGAUUAGGUAGUUGGUGGGGUAAAGGCUCACCAACCCGACGAUCUGUAGCUGGUCUGAGAGGACGACCAGCCACACUGGGACUGAGACACGGCCCAGACUCCUACGGGAGGCAGCAGUAGGGAAUUUUGGACAAUGGGCGGAAGCCUGAUCCAGCCAUGCCGCGUGCAGGAUGAAGGCCUUCGGGUUGUAAACUGCUUUUGUACGGAACGAAAAGGUUUGGCCUAAUAAGCUGAGCUCAUGACGGUACCGUAAGAAUAAGCACCGGCUAACUACGUGCCAGCCGCCGCAGUAA
rnacentral:rRNA from 1 species